rnacentral:tRNA from 1 species
GCUUCCUGUACUCUCAAUCGGCUAGAGGACGUGACUGCGUGUUACGCGCGUGUGGGUUCGAGUCCCAUCAGGAAGCA